GUCUCCGUUGGUGAACAGCGNNNNNAUCAUUACCGAGUUUACAACUCCCAAACCCCUGUGAACAUACCACUUGUUGCCUCGGCGGAUCAGCCCGCUCCCGGUAAAACGGGACGGCCCGCCAGAGGACCCCUAAACUCUGUUUCUAUAUGUAACUUCUGAGUAAAACCAUAAAUAAAUCAAAACUUUCAACAACGGAUCUCUUGGUUCUGGCAUCGAUGAAGAACGCAGCAAAAUGCGAUAAGUAAUGUGAAUUGCAGAAUUCAGUGAAUCAUCGAAUCUUUGAACGCACAUUGCGCCCGCCAGUAUUCUGGCGGGCAUGCCUGUUCGAGCGUCAUUUCAACCCUCAAGCACAGCUUGGUGUUGGGACUCGCGUUAAUUCGCGUUCCCCAAAUUGAUUGGCGGUCACGUCGAGCUUCCAUAGCGUAGUAGUAAAACCCUCGUUACUGGUAAUCGUCGCGGCCACGCCGUUAAACCCCAACUUCUGAAUGUUGACCUCGGAUCAGGUAGGAAUACCCGCUGAACUUAAGCAUAUCA
rnacentral:rRNA from 1 species